GCGACACGUGACCUGCCUGUGACCGAGACCUGCCUGUGACCGUGACCUGCCUGAGCUGACCAGUUGUGGAUGAAAAUAAUAGUGACGGUGAUGGUGGUGAUGGUGAUGGUGGCGUUGACGGAAGCGAUGGAAAAGGAAAAGAAAAAUGAAGAAGGAAAUGGCGGAGGCUCUGGCGAUGAUGGUUUCCUAAUGGCCACGUCAAAAGAGGGUCGACUGCACUACGAUUUACUGUUGAGGGGAGCACAAACGCCCAGCGACUUGUCUGCGUCCUGUCGGCGUCGUGUCUUCGUUGGUCGGUGUCGGUCGGCGUUAUGUCUGCGUCCUCGUCGUCGUCAGCUCCAUUCUUUAUCGUUCUUUAUCGUCUUUUCCUUCUAUAUUCUGAUUUACUUCCUUCCUUUUAUCCCUCCCCUUCCUUCCUUGUCUUAUCUUCCUUCCCGCUCUAUCCUUUCCUUUCCAUUUCUUUCUCUUCCUUUUCUUUUCUUUCCUCUCAAUUUCUUUACGCUCCUUCUCUUCUUUCCCUCACCAUGCUAUCCCUUUCCUUUUCUAUCCUUCUCCUUUGUAUUACCUUACCUUCUCAUCCAUACUCCUUCCUACCCCCUCCCCUCCCCUCCCUUCCUUUCCAUUUCCUUCCCCUCAACUCCAUUCCAUAUAUCCUUCUCCCAUCCCUUAGCCACGGAUCCUGCUACCAGUCGGC